UGGUUGGGAAUGAAAAUUGGAGGAUUUGGGAGCUGAGGAUUGGGGCUCUCCUUCAGCCAUGCCAGGAUUGCGUAUGAAGGUAAUUGACUGCAGACAUCAUCAACCCUUUUGUUGAGGACCCUGUACUUUCUACAUAAACGAAAGGAACCUAAACCCCUUUGAUGAGGAUCAUGCACAGUGUCAUGGAACGAUAGGGUGACAUUCAUCCAACACAUAGCAUAGACAGGGAUGUAGCUCCCAGCCCUUCUACCCAGGAGGUAAACCUCAUUGUAAUUGUACAAAUUAGAUAGAAGCAAAAUGUUAUAUUAUUAUGUUAUUUUCUUAAGGGUUUUCAAGUAAUUUUGAUAAUGUUACUAAUAUUCUUGUCACAAAUGGAUGUUCGGGGAAAGGCACCUGCAUUACUUGAUGACAAUACAUCGGUGGACUCACUACUAUGCGAUGAUGACAUUGCAUAUUCCACAUACCCUGUCGCAAUGAUGAGAAAGAUCCAAAAAAAGGUUAAUAGAGAAAUUAGUGCUCUGGCAUACCAAGUCCCUAAAUUGAUGUAAUAAAAGAGAGGUUACAACAAUUGAUGCAGAGAGCACAAAACUUGCAAGUAAGCAGUAAUGAAAUCUUUAAUUAUAACAUAAGUUCACAAAAUGGUUUAUAUGUUGGCAUAUGCACACUCCAAUGAGACAUUGUAUGUGAUUGAAGGUUUUGUCAUUGAUGGCAACCUUGCAAUCUUAUGGCACCGGCAAAGGCAUUAUACUGGCAUUAGUAGAUCACACUCUACACCGGUACUCGGGACACCGGCACUGACACAGAAGAAAGGAAGUAUACCGGCACAGAGGCCGACAGGAUUUUGUUAUAUUAUAUUUUGUUUAUUAUUGUAAAAAUGUGUAAGCCGACUUGGCAACUUGUAAAAUGACUCUUAUAAAAGAGAUCAUUGUAGACAUUUGUGAUGAUGUAGAAGUAUUAUAGGAAAAUAUUAAGCAGACCUAUUGUGCGAAAUUUAGGUCAAAAGGUAUAUGUAAAUAACAGAGCAGGAACAGGUACUAAAUCUAGCAUUGAAGAUGCUAUUGUAAAGCAGUACAAUAUAUUGGAUUUGUAUAAUCCUUAUUGUAAGUCAGUGAGACUUCCCAUUGAGCAGUGAGCUCUAGGCAGAUGGCCUUCCUGCAUGUGCAGGCCCCUAUUGUAAGCAAUAUUCUCUUA